rnacentral:lncRNA from 1 species
AUGGGCAGCCGGCAAGGGGUGAGGCCCCGCCCCGUUGAUCCGGGGGACCAAUGGGAAGCCGGUACAGGAGCUGGGUUCUCCCCGAGGCCCCGCCCUGUCGACCCGGGUGACCGACGGGCAGCCGGCUAUGGAGCUGGCUCCGCCCCGGAGGCCCCGCCCUGUUGCUCAGACGUGCGCAGGAUGUGGGCCUUGCGGGCCGCCGUCCGCGGCGGCGCCUGGCUCUCUCGUGCGGUUCGCGGCUGCCGGCCCCCGAGGGCCGCCCUGCUGCCGCCGCCGCCCCGCCCCGAGCGCGCCCUUGCCGCUGUCCGCGGAGGCCUGGGGUGCUCGGAGGGGCCGGAGGGUGGGAGGGGCGGCCCACGUGCGGGUGGCCGGAGAAGCCGGGCUGACGGGGAGGAGGAGCCCGAAGAUGCGGAGGAGGAGGAAGACGAGGAGGAGCUUCUGAGGAGGGACCCGCUGCUGCCCUCGGGGACACAGCGCGUGUGCCUGGUUCACCCUGAGAUCAAGUGGGGGCCCGGGAAGCCGCAGGGGACCCGAGCCGAGUGGCAGGUGGCGGAGGCGCGAGCGCUGGUGUGCACGCUGGACGGCUGGUCGGUGGUGGCCACGAUGGUGGUGCCCACCAAGACGCCAGACAAGAAGCUCAUCUUCGGCAGAGGGACCUUGGAGCAGCUGACGGAGAGGAUCAGAGGGUCCCCGGAAAUCACCGCCGUCUUCCUGAACGUGGAGAGGCUGGCCACGCCCACCAAGAAAGACCUGGAAGCCGCCUGGCGCGUGCCGGUGUUUGACCGGUUCACCUUGGUUCUUCACAUAUUCCGCUGCAAUGCCCGCACCAAGGAGGCGCGACUGCAGGUGGCGCUGGCCGAGCUCCCUGUGCUCAGGUCCCACGUGAAAAGCAAUGCUGCCCACCUGGGCGGACGCGGACGGAGCUCUCGCUACACCAUGGGGUCAGGGGAGUCCUUCCUGCAGGUGCAGCAGCGUCUCCUGAGAGACAGGGAAACCAAGAUCCAGAAGGCCCUGGAGAGACUCCGCCGCAAGAGGCGCCUUCUAGGGCAGCAGCGGAGGCGGAGGGAGUUCCCGGUGGUCUCUGUAGUGGGAUACACGAACUGUGGGAAAACCACGCUGAUCAAGGCCCUGACCGGGGACACUGCCAUACAGCCCCGGGACCAGCUGUUUGCAACGCUCGACGUCACGGCCCACGCAGGGCGGCUGCCCUGCAUGACGGUCCUUUACAUGGACACCAUCGGCUUUCUCUCCCAGCUGCCCCACAGCCUGGUCGAGUCCUUCUCGGCCACCCUGCAGGACGUGGCCCAUUCGGAUCUGAUCGUCCACGUCAGAGAUGUGAGCCACCCCGAGACGGAGCUGCAGAAGGCCAGUGUCCUGUCAGCCCUGGGAGGGCUGGGCCUGCCAGACGCCCUCCUGGAGAGCAUGGUGGAAGUCCACAACAAAGUGGACCUGGUGCCCGGGUACACACCCGUGGAGCCCGACGUCCUGGCUGUGUCUGCCCUCCUGGGGCUCGGGCUGGAUGAGCUGAUGGCCAGGGUGGAGGACGCCAUCCUGCGAGCCACGGGGAGACGGACCCUCACCCUGCGCGUGCGGCUGGCGGGACCGCAGCUGAGCUGGCUUCACCAGGAGGCCACGGUGCAGGCGGUGGACGUGAUCCCCGAGGCCGGGGCUGCCGACGUGAAAGUCAUCAUCAGUGACUCUGCUUACGGAAGGUUCCAGAAGCUGUUUCCGGGGUGAAAGGAUUCCCCCCUCCCCAAGGAUGAGGGCGCUGCACGUUUCAGUCCCAGAGACAAGCACGUGUGUUGGGCGUUCGCCCCCAACCCCACCGUCCCCACCCCUGCUAGCCUGGUGGGGACGGGACCCCGUGGGACUCUUGAGUGGUUCUGGCCGACCGUCGGGGCGUCUGG